UACGAAGGGGGCUAGCGUUGCUCGGAAUCACUGGGCGUAAAGGGUGCGUAGGCGGGUCUUUAAGUCAGGGGUGAAAUCCGUGGAGUCAACUCCAGAACUGCCUUUGAUACUGAAGAUCUUGAGUUCGGGAGAGGUGAGUGGAACUGCGAGUGUAGAGGUGAAAUUCGUAGAUAUUCGCAAGAACACCAGUGGCGAAGGCGGCUCACUGGCCCGAUACUGACGCUGAGGCACGAAAGCGUGGGGAGCAAACAGG
rnacentral:rRNA from 1 species